UCAGUGAAACUGAUCUCCCCGUGAAGAAGCGGGGAUAAGUAUAUUAGACGAGAAGACCCCAUGGAGCUUUAAACCCGACAGCACCCACUUAUUUAACACCUUCUUAUCCGCCUGGCCCCUGUCUGCUCGGUUUUGGGUUGGGGUGACCGCGGAGCAUAAAAUAGCCUCCACGAAAGAAGGGAUGAUUCCCUCAUUUUAGAACUACACUUCCAAAGACUAACAAAUUAAUUUUAAGUGAUCCGAUACCCGUAUUCGAUCAACGAACCAAGUUACCCUGGGGAUAACAGCGCAAUCUACCUCAAGAGCCCCUAUCGACAGGUGGGUUUACGACCUCGAUGUUGGAUCAGGGUAUCCCAGUGGUGCAGCAGCUACCAAAGGUUCGUUUGUUCAACGAUUAAAACCCU
rnacentral:rRNA from 1 species